rnacentral:rRNA from 1 species
UGGGGAAUAUUGGACAAUGGGCGAAAGCCUGAUCCAGCCAUGCCGCGUGUGUGAAGAAGGUCUUCGGAUUGUAAAGCACUUUAAGUUGGGAGGAAGGGCAGUAAGCGAAUACCUUGCUGUUUUGACGUUACCGACAGAAUAAGCACCGGCUAACUCUGUGCCAGCAGCCGCGGUAAUACAGAGGGUGCAAGCGUUAAUCGGAAUUACUGAGCGUAAAGCGCGCGUAGGUGGUUCGUUAAGUUGAAUGUGAAAGCCCCGGGCUCAACCUGGGAACUGCAUCCAAAACUGGCGAGCUAGAGUAGGGCAGAGGGUGGUGGAAUUUCCUGUGUAGCGGUGAAAUGCGUAGAUAUAGGAAGGAACACCAGUGGCGAAGGCGACCACCUGGGCUCAUACUGACACUGAGGUGCGAAAGCGUGGGGAGCAAACAGG